CAGAAAAUAGUUUAAUGAAAAAUGCCAGCUUUGGGAGUUGGAGAUAUAGGUUUAAGUCCUUUUUUUCUGA
rnacentral:tRNA from 4 species